rnacentral:misc_RNA from 1 species
GAGUGGUUUGGAUGUGGGGGUUUGCUGGCCUCUUAAAAAGGUUCAGCUCCUCUGAAAUGCAUUAGCAGAACAAACCUGUUCAUUGGUGUGAUAACUAUCUACGCUAUUGAAUGUAAGGGGCAGUUCAGCUUUCUAAUGGUCUUUGGACAAUUCAUCAUUAAUGUGACCUCAAAUCAGGUAGGACUACCCGCUGAACUUAA